AUUGACCGCUGGCGGCAGGCCUAACACAUGCAAGUCGAACGAGUGGCGGACGGGUGAGUAAUGUCUGGGAAAUUGCCUGAUGGAGGGGGAUAACUACUGGAAACGGUAGCUAAUACCGCAUACCAUCAGAUGUGCCCAGAUGGGAUUAGCUAGUUGGGGGGGGAACGGCUCACAAAGGCGACGAUCCCUAUCGGGUAUGAGAGGAUGACCAGCCACUCUGAAACUGAGACACGGACAAGACUCGCACAGCAGGAAGAAGGGGGGAUUAUUGCACAAUGGGCGCAAGCCUGAUACAGCCAUGCCGCGUGUAUGAAAAAGGCCUUCGGGUUGUAAAGUACUUUCAGCGGGGAAGCGUUACCCGCAGAAGAAGCACCGGCUAACUCCGUGCCAGCAGCCGCGUUAAUUC
rnacentral:rRNA from 1 species